AAGAUACUACCUCCGUCCGAAAAUACUUGUCCUAAAGAUGAAUGUAUCUAGACUUAUUUGAAUUGUAGAUACAUCCAUUAUAUGCAUUUUUAGGACAAGUAUUUUCGGACGGAGGGAGUAGUUU
rfam:Hordeum vulgare subsp. vulgare, WGS project CAJW01000000 data, contig: morex_contig_1615346